GCUUAACAUGCUUUAAUGAAGUAACGUGUUACACAAAAGUUGAUGAUCCCUUAUCUGUCGCUGCCUGCACAGUAAAAUUUUUCAAUACAGACGGAGUGUUUAUGUAGAGCUAGUGAGUCCUUGACUCCUCCUUUACCAAUUGAUUUUCAGGAGCAACGCUCUCUUAACGAAGAACAAGAUGAAAAGAUUAUGCGAUAAAGAGUGGGCCGAUUGUCAACUAGAAUAUCCUUACAAAACAUUGUAUAAUGAUAUGUUGCUGUACACGAACGAUUGGAGUGCAUGUCCUGAAAUUUUCAUCGUAUUAACGAACGAUACAAUGUUAUAG